GAUCAUGGCUCAGGAUGAACGCUGGCGGCGUGCUUAACACAUGCAAGUCGAACGGGGUUACGAUGUGUGAGGAAAGAAGCUUGCUUUGGACUAAACUUUCGUAACCUAGUGGCGGACGGGUGAGUAACGCGUGGGUAACCUGCCGUAUGCCGGGGGACAACAGUUGGAAACGACUGCUAAUACCGCAUAAGCGCACAGAACCGCAUGGUUCAGUGUGAAAAAACUCCGGUGGCAUACGAUGGACCCGCGUCUGAUUAGCCAGUUGGCGGUGUAACGGACCACCAAAGCGACGAUCAGUAGCCGGCCUGAGAGGGUGAACGGCCACAUUGGGACUGAGACACGGCCCAAACUCCUACGGGAGGCAGCAGUGGGGAAUAUUGGACAAUGGGAGAAACCCUGAUCCAAGCGACGCCGCGUGAGUGAAGAAGUAUUUCGGUAUGUAAAGCUCUAUCAGCAGGAAAGAAAAUGACGGUACCUGACUAAGAAGCCCCGGCUAACUACGUGCCAGCAGCAGC
rnacentral:rRNA from 1 species